rnacentral:rRNA from 1 species
CAGUCGCCGCGGGAAGACAGAGGAUGCAAGCGUUGUCUGGAAUGAUUGGGCGUAAAGCGUCUGUAGGUGGCUUUUCAAGUCCGCCGUCAAAUCCCAGGGCUCAACCCUGGACAGGCGGUGGAAACUACCAAGCUGGAGCACGGUAGGGGCAGAGGGAAUUUCCGGUGGAGCGGUGAAAUGCGUUGAGAUCGGAAAGAACACCAACGGCGAGAGCACUCUGCUGGGCCGACACUGACACUGAGAGACGAAAGCUAGGGGCGCAAAUGGGAUUAGAUACCCCUGUAGUCCCUGUCUCUUAUAC